GCGGCGUGCCUAAUACAUGCAAGUCGAGCGAGCGGAACUAACAGAUUUACUUCGGUAAUGACGUUAGGAAAGCGAGCGGCGGAUGGGUGAGUAACACGUGGGGAACCUGCCCCAUAGUCUGGGAUACCACUUGGAAACAGGUGCUAAUACCGGAUAAGAAAGCAGAUCGCAUGAUCAGCUUUUAAAAGGCGGCGUAAGCUGUCGCUAUGGGAUGGCCCCGCGGUGCAUUAGCUAGUUGGUAAGGUAAAGGCUUACCAAGGCGAUGAUGCAUAGCCGAGUUGAGAGACUGAUCGGCCACAUUGGGACUGAGACACGGCCCAAACUCCUACGGGAGGCAGCAGUAGGGAAUCUUCCACAAUGGACGCAAGUCUGAUGGAGCAACGCCGCGUGAGUGAAGAAGGUUUUCGGAUCGUAAAGCUCUGUUGUUGGUGAAGAAGGAUAGAGGUAGUAACUGGCCUUUAUUUGACGGUAAUCAACCAGAAAGUCACGGCUAACUACGUGCCAGCAGCCGCGGUAAUACGUAGGUGGCAAGCGUUGUCCGGAUUUAUUGGGCGUAAAGCGAGCGCAGGCGGAAGAAUAAGUCUGAUGUGAAAGCCCUCGGCUUAACCGAGGAACUGCAUCGGAAACUGUUUUUCUUGAGUGCAGAAGAGGAGAGUGGAACUCCAUGUGUAGCGGUGGAAUGCGUAGAUAUAUGGAAGAACACCAGUGGCGAAGGCGGCUCUCUGGUCUGCAACUGACGCUGAGGCUCGAAAGCAUGGGUAGCGAACAGGAUUAGAUACCCUGGUAGUCCAUGCCGUAAACGAUGAGUGCUAAGUGUUGGGAGGUUUCCGCCUCUCAGUGCUGCAGCUAACGCAUUAAGCACUCCGCCUGGGGAGUACGACCGCAAGGUUGAAACUCAAAGGAAUUGACGGGGGCCCGCACAAGCGGUGGAGCAUGUGGUUUAAUUCGAAGCAACGCGAAGAACCUUACCAGGUCUUGACAUCUAGUGUCAUUUGUAGAGAUACAAAGUUCCCUUCGGGGACGCUAAGACAGGUGGUGCAUGGCUGUCGUCAGCUCGUGUCGUGAGAUGUUGGGUUAAGUCCCGCAACGAGUGCAACCCUUGUUAUUAGUUGCCAGCAUUAAGUUGGGCACUCUAAUGAGACUGCCGGUGACAAACCGGAGGAAGGUGGGGAUGACGUCAAGUCAUCAUGCCCCUUAUGACCUGGGCUACACACGUGCUACAAUGGGCAGUACAACGAGAAGCGAGCCUGCGAAGGCAAGCGAAUCUCUGAAAGCUGUUCUCAGUUCGGACUGCAGUCUGCAACUCGACUGCACGAAGCUGGAAUCGCUAGUAAUCGCGGAUCAGCACGCCGCGGUGAAUACGUUCCCGGGCCUUGUACACACCGCCCGUCACACCAUGGGAGUCUGCAAUGCCCAAAGCCGGUGGCCUAACCUUCGGGAAGGAGCCGUCUAAGGCAGGGCAGAUGACUGGGGUGAA
rnacentral:rRNA from 1 species